UACGUAGGGGGCUAGCGUUGUCCGGAAUCAUUGGGCGUAAAGCGCGUGUAGGCGGUCCGGUAAGUCCGCUGUGAAAGUCGAGGGCUCAACCCUCGAAUGCCGGUGGAUACUGUCGGGCUAGAGUGCGGAAGAGGCGAGUGGAAUUCCUGGUGUAGCGGUGAAAUGCGCAGAUAUCAGGAGGAACACCGAUGGCGAAGGCAGGUCUCUGGGCUGACACUGACGCUCAUGCACGAAAGCGUGGGGAGCAAACAGG
rnacentral:rRNA from 1 species